UACAGAGGGUGCUAGCGUUGUUCGGAAUCAUUGGGCGUAAAGGGCGUGUAGGCGGUUUGUUAAGUCAUGUGUGAAAUCCCUCGGCUCAACCGGGGAACGACGCAUGAAACUGGCAAGCUAGAGUACCAAAGAGGGGGGGUGGAAUUCCUGGUGUAGCGGUGGAAUGCGCAGAUAUCAGGAGGAACACCAAUUGCGAAGGCAGCUCGCUGGGACGUUACUGACGCUGAGACGCGAAAGCGUGGGGAGCAAACAGG
rnacentral:rRNA from 1 species